rnacentral:RNase_P_RNA from 1 species
CGAGCAGAUCACCUUAUCGCUCCCCGGUAUAAACGGGGGGAGGAAAGUCCGGACACCGUAGUGCAGCAUAGCGGGUAACGCCCGUCUUCCCGUUUCGGCGGGAAAGGACAAGUGCAACAGAAAGCAAGUACAGGUAAUGCUGUAGUGAAAUCAGGUAAACUCUAUGCGGUGAAACGCCAUGUAAAUCAGCGACUGAGGGCGGCACGUCCGAGCUGAAGGGUAGGCGGAUAGAAUGUGCGGGUAACCGUUCAUCCAGAUAAAUGAUAAGGGCCCUUCUCAGGGAACAGAAUCCGGCUUAUGAUCUGCUCAUUCU